rnacentral:rRNA from 1 species
AACGAACGCUGGCGGCAGGCUUAACACAUGCAAGUCGAACGCGUGCAGCAAUGCACGAGUGGCGCACGGGUGAGUAACGAGUGGAUAUCUGCCUUUUGGUUCGGAAUAACCCCGGGAAACUGGGGCUAAUACCGGAUGGUUCCUACGGGAUAAAGAUUUAUCGCCAAAAGAUGAGUCCGCGUCCGAUUAGCUAGUUGGUGAGGUAAUGGCUCACCAAGGCGACGAUCGGUAGCUGGUCUGAGAGGACGAUCAGCCACACUGGGACUGAGACACGGCCCAGACUCCUACGGGAGGCAGCAGCGGGGAAUAUUGGACAAUGGGGGCAACCCUGAUCCAGCCAUGCCGCGUGAGUGAUGAAGGCCUUCGGGUUGUAAAGCUCUUUUGGCGGGGACGAUGAUGACGGUACCCGCAGAAUAAGCCCCGGCUAACUUCGUG